CCUACGGGCGGCAGCAGUGGGGAAUAUUGCGCAAUGGGCGAAAGCCUGACGCAGCGACGCCGCGUGAGGGAUGAAGGUCUUCGGAUCGUAAACCUCUGUCAGCAGGGAAGAACGGUCACUGUGCUAAUCAGCAGUGAAUUGACGGUACCUGCAAAGGAAGCACCGGCUAACUCCGUGCCAGCAGCCGCGGUAAUACGGAGGGUGCGUGCGUUAAUCGGAAUUACUGGGCGUAAAGCGAGCGUAGGCGGUAUGUCAAGUCAAGGGUGAAAUCCCCGGGCUCAACGUGGGAACUGCCUUUGAAACUGGCAGACUGGAGUGUGGGAGAGGUAAGUGGAAUUCCAGGUGUAGGAGUGAAAUGCGUAGAUAUCUGGAGGAACAUCAGUGGCGAAGGCGACUAUCUGGCACAUAACUGACGCUGAGGAGCGAAAGCGUGGGUAGCAAACAGGAUUAGAUACCCGUGUAGUC
rnacentral:rRNA from 1 species